rnacentral:rRNA from 1 species
GAUGAACGCUGGCGGCGUGCCUAAUACAUGCAAGUCGAGCGAACAGAUGAGAAGCUUGCUUCUCUGAUGUUAGCGGCGGACGGGUGAGUAACACGUGGGUAACCUACCUAUAAGACUGGGAUAACUCCGGGAAACCGGGGCUAAUACCGGAUAAUAUUUUGAACCGCAUGGUUCAAUAGUGAAAGACGGUUUCGGCUGUCACUUAUAGAUGGACCCGCGCCGUAUUAGCUAGUUGGUAAGGUAACGGCUUACCAAGGCGACGAUACGUAGCCGACCUGAGAGGGUGAUCGGCCACACUGGAACUGAGACACGGUCCAGACUCCUACGGGAGGCAGCAGUAGGGAAUCUUCCGCAGUGGGCGAAAGCCUGACGGAGCAACGCCGCGUGAGUGAUGAAGGUCUUCGGAUCGUAAAACUCUGUUGUUUGAGACGAAUGUGCCUGUUUCGAAUAGGGAUAGGUAAUAACGGUAUUAAACGAGAAAGCCACGGCUAACUACGUGCCAGCCGCCGCCGUAA